rnacentral:rRNA from 1 species
GAUGAACGCUGGCGGCGUGCCUAAUACAUGCAAGUCGAGCGAACGGACGAGAAGCUUGCUUCUCUGAUGUUAGCGGCGGACGGGUGAGUAACACGUGGAUAACCUACCUAUAAGACUGGGAUAACUUCGGGAAACCGUAGCUAAUACCGGAUAAUAUUUUGAACCGCAUGGUUCAAAAGUGAAAGACGGUCUUGCUGUCACUUAUAGAUGGAUCCGCGCUGCAUUAGCUAGUUGGUAAGGUAACGGCUUACCAAGGCAACGAUGCAUAGCCGACCUGAGAGGGUGAUCGGCCACACUGGAACUGAGACACGGUCCAGACUCCUACGGGAGGCAGCAGUAGGGAAUCUUCCGCAAUGGGCGAAAGCCUGGCGGAGCAACGCCGCGUGAGUGAUGAAGGUCUUCGGAUCGUAAAACUCUGUUAUUAGGGAAGAACAUAUGUGUAAGUAACUGUGCACAUCUUGACGGUACCUAAUCAGAAAGCCACGUCUAACUACGUG